AGGUGAGUAAGUCCCUCUCGAAAAGAAUGAGGCCGCCAAUUGGCGGGGGGACGAAGUAGAGAGGGGUUCACUA
rnacentral:sRNA from 12 species